CCACGGCCUUGUCUUGCUCGAAGAUGGUGGCAGCGAACGCCGGUAGUCCUUCUCGUCCUCUACCUCCAAUGACACGUUUCGGUACAACUCAGGCACCUCUGCCCCUGAAGCCUGUCCUCCCAUCCGGUGAUGUAUAGAUCGUCCUCGCGUGCGUCGAUCUGCCUCCUCCUCGACGCGACACCUACAACCUGGAUGUGGAUGUGGCCAGUUUGAGUGCAUUCACAUUCUGUUUCUCCGAGUUGGUUCAAUACAACCACACACAAGUUACAAUAUUGCUGACCUAGAACAAAGGUUUGGGUCUUCUCAUUCAGUACACAAUGUAGCUGAGCUUGAGGCAUCAACCAAGGAGCUUGAGGCGUUGCUUGUUGAAAA